rnacentral:rRNA from 1 species
CCGAUCGGGUAGUAGGUAAGCGAUGGGGUGACGCAGGAAGGUAGUCCAGCCCAGGCGAUGGUUGUCCUGGGGUAAGCAUGUAGGGCGGAACGUAGGUAAAUCCGCGUUCUAUUCAGCCUGAGAUGUGAUGCCGAGCCGAUUGUGGUGAAGUGGAUGAUCCUAUGCUGCCGAGAAAAGCCUCUAGUGAGUGUUGUGGCGGCCCGUACCCUAAACCGACCCAGGUGGUCAGGUAGAGAAUACCAAGGCGAUCGGGUGAACUGUGGUUAAGGAACUCGGCAAAUUGCCCCCGUAACUUCGGGAGAAGGGGGACCUCUGCUGGUGAUGGGCUUUACGUUCUGAGCUGGUGGGGGUCGCAGUGGCCAGGGGGAAGCGACUGUUUACUAAAAACACAGGUCCGUGCGAAGUCGUAAGACGAUGUAUACGGACUGACGCCUGCCCGGUGCCGGAACGUUAAGGGGACCGCUUAGCCAACGCGAGUUGGCGAAGGUGAGAACUUAAGCGCCGGUAAACGGCGGUGGUAACUAUAACCAUCCUAAGGUAGCGAAAUUCCUUGUCGGGUAAGUUCCGACCUGCACGAAUGGCGUAACGACUUCCCCGCUGUCUCAACCACAGACCCGGCGAAAUUGCACUACGAGUAAAGAUGCUCGUUUCGCGCAGCAGGACGGAAAGACCCCGGGACCUUCACUACAGCUUGACAUUGGCGUUUGGAACGUCUUGUGUAGGAUAGGUGGGAGACUGGGAAGCUGUCACGCUAGUGAUGGUGGAGUCAUUGGUGAAAUACCACUCUGGUCGUUUUGAACGUCUAACUCUGGUCCGUGAUCCGGAUCGGGGACAGUGUCUGGUGGGUAGUUUAACUGGGGCGGUUGCCUCCUAAAGAGUAACGGAGGCGCCCAAAGGUUCCCUCAGCCUGGUUGCCAAUCAGGUGUUGAGUGUAAGUGCACAAGGGAGCUUGACUGUGAGACUGACAGGUCGAGCAGGAGCGAAAGCUGGGACUAGUGAUCCGGCAUCGGCGUGUGGAAGCGGUGUCGCUCAACGGCUAAAAGGUACCCCGGGGAUAACAGGCUGAUCUUCCCCAAGAGUCCAUAUCGACGGGAUGGUUUGGCACCUCGAUGUCGGCUCGUCGCAUCCUGGGGCUGGAGUAGGUCCCAAGGGUUGGGCUGUUCGCCCAUUAAAGCGGUACGCGAGCUGGGUUUAGAACGUCGCGAGACAGUUCGGUCCCUAUCCGCUGCGCGCGCAGGAGACUUGAAGGGGGCUGUCCCUAGUACGAGAGGACCGGGACGGACGAACCUCUGGUGUGCCAGUUGUACCGCCAGGUGCACGGCUGGUUGGCUACGUUCGGAAGGGAUAACCGCUGAAAGCAUCUAAGCGGGAAGCUCGCCUUGAGAUGAGGUCUCCCACCCCGUGAGGGGGUAAGGCUCCCGGUAGAUCACCGGGUUGAUAGGCCGGAGGUGGAAGCACGGUAACCUGUGGAGCUGACCGGUACUAAUAGGCCGAGGACUUGACCAC